AACUAACGCUGGCGGCGCGUCUUAAACAUGCAAGUCGAACGGUAGUCCUUGAGCUUGCUUAGGGAUGAGAGUGGCGAACGGGUGAGUAACACGUGGAUAAUCUGCCUCCGGGUUGGGGAUAACUGUCCGAAAGGAUAGCUAAUACCGAAUGAGAUGGUGGUUACAAAAGUAGCAGCCAUUAAAGGUGGGGACCGCAAGGCCUACUGCCUGGAGAUGAGUCCGCGGCUGAUUAGCUUGUUGGUGGGGUAACGGCCUACCAAGGCGACGAUCAGUAGCCGGCCUGAGAGGGUGAACGGCCACAUUGGGACUGAGAUACGGCCCAGACUCCUACGGGAGGCAGCAGUUAAGAAUCUUGCACAAUGGGCGCAAGCCUGAUGCAGCGACGCCGCGUGAAUGAUGAAGGCUUUCGGGUUGUAAAGUUCAGUAAG
rnacentral:rRNA from 1 species